CCCUUAGAUGUCCUGGGCUGCACGCGCGCUACACUGACACAUUCAGCGAGUUUUUCCUUAUCCGGUAGGAUUGGGUACUCUUUUGAACGUGUGUCGUGAUGGGGAUAGAUUAUUGCAAUUAUUAAUCUUCAACGAGGAAUUCCUAGUAAGUGCAAGUCAUCAGCUUGCGCUGAUUACGUCCCUGCCCUUUGUACACACCGCCCGUCGCUCCUACCGAUUGAAUGUUCCGGUGAAUAAUUCGGACUGCGGCAAUGGGGCUUGUGCCACUAUUGCUGUGGAAAGUCUAGUGAACCUUAACAUUUAGAGGAAGGAGAANUCGUAACA
rnacentral:rRNA from 1 species